rnacentral:rRNA from 1 species
UAGGGAAUCUUCCACAAUGGACGCAAGUCUGAUGGAGCAACGCCGCGUGAGUGAAGAAGGUUUUCGGAUCGUAAAGCUCUGUUGUUGGUGAAGAGGGAUAGAGGCAGUAACUGGUUUCAUUUGACGGUAAUCAACCAGAAGUCACGGCUAACUACGUGCCAG